UGUAGAGCGCACAGCCUCUAGGUGUAAUGGCAACACCCCUGUUGCUCCUAGAGGCACAAUUGCAUUAAAACAUUUUCUAAGCAAUGCAGGCACAUAUGAACAUGGGACCAACACAGAUGCCUUUAGCUGCCAAGUGCACAUGUAACAGGUCAGCCAGUUUCAUAGGUACAAAUCUCAUGACAGACGCCCUUUAAUAUUUGGUAGAAGCAAAGCCAUAAGCAAAUAAAAAAGCAUGUAAUAGUAAUAAAUCACUUGUUAUUAAAAUAAAACAAACAUGUAGUAAACUGGAGGCUCAAGCCAAGGUUUUUUUUUUUAAUUGCAGCAUUUGGUGCCACAGCAAAAAACAUUUUCGGCACAUCUAGGGCUUAUUGUAUUUAUACUGUAUCUCAAUAGAUCAGAACUAAAAUAAUGGUUAAGGGCUCUUUCACACCUGCCUU